CAUGAAGUUAGCCACUAAGAUCACAUUAGUCUGUCCACCUUUCCAAAUGUCUUUCACUGAACUACAAAUCUGUAGAAUCGCAGAAUCAAAGAAGCACAGGGGUUGGAAGGAACCUCUGGGUAUCAAGUCCAAUCCUCUGCUAAAGCAGACUCCCUGCAGUAGGUUGCCAGAAUAGCUUUCAAAUGAGUCUUGGAUAUCUCCAGAAAUGGAGACUCCACAACCUCUCUGGGCAGCUUGUUACAGUGCUCUGUCCCCUCACGGUAAUGGAGUUCUUACUCAUCUUUGUAUAGAACUUCCUGUAUUCAAGUUUUUCACUGUUACCUCUUGUCUAGUUGCAGCACACCACUGAGAAGAGCCUUGCCUCAUCAGCUUAACUCCUGCACUUCAGAUAUUUAUAAACAGUGAUGACAUCCCCUCUCAAACAAAAUAUUUUCUGGACAGAUAUGUUUAUGCUACUUAUCAGUCUCUUGAGGAAACAACAGCAUUUACUUCUGAGGAUCAUGUGGGGUAAAUUACUUGUUCCUACAAGUCUAAUUAACUCCCCUCACCUCCCUCCAGCCCUAACUACAAUUUUUUUACAUGGGCAUAUUUACCCAAAAAAU
ensembl:lncRNA